AGAGUUUGAUCAUGGCUCAGAAUCAACGCUGGCGGCGUGCCUAACACAUGCAAGUCGCGCGAGAAAGUGGAGCAAUCCAUGAGUAAAGCGGCACACGGGUGAGUAACACGUGACUAGCCUACCCUCGAGUGGGGAAUAACUUCGGGAAACCGAGGCUAAUACCGCAUAAUACCCACGGGUCAAAGGAGUAAUUCGCUUGAGGAGGGGGUCGCGGCCGAUUAGUUAGUUGGCAGGGUAAUGGCCUACCAAGACGAUGAUCGGUAUCCGGCCUGAGAGGGCGCACGGACACACUGGAACUGAAACACGGUCCAGACUCCUACGGGAGGCAGCAGUGGGGAAUUUUGCGCAAUGGGGGAAACCCUGACGCAGCAACGCCGCGUGGAGGAUGAAGUCCUUCGGGACGUAAACUCCUUUCGAUCGGGACGAUAAUGACGGUACCGGAAGAAGAAGCCCCGGCUAACUUCGUGCCAGCAGCCGCGGUAAUAC
rnacentral:rRNA from 1 species